AGCGAACGCUGGCGGCAGGCUUAACACAUGCAAGUCGAGCGGGCCCUUCGGGGUCAGCGGCGGACGGGUGAGUAACGCGUGGGAAUGUGCCUUCUGGUCUGGAAUAACCCUGGGAAACUAGGGCUAAUACCGGAUACGCCCUUUUGGGGAAAGGUUUACUGCCGGAAGAUCGGCCCGCGUCUGAUUAGCUAGUUGGUGGGGUAACGGCCUACCAAGGCGACGAUCAGUAGCUGGUCUGAGAGGAUGAUCAGCCACACUGGGACUGAGACACGGCCCAGACUCCUACGGGAAGCAGCAGUGGGGAAUAUUGGACAAUGGGCGCAAGCCUGAUCCAGCCAUGCCGCGUGAGUGAUGAAGGCCUUAGGGUUGUAAAGCUCUUUUAUCCGGGACGAUAAUGACGGUACCGGAGGAAUAAGCCCCGGCUAACUUCGUG
rnacentral:rRNA from 1 species